UACAAGGUUUCCGUAGGUGAACCUGCGGAAGGAUCAUUCAUAAUAAGUGUUUUAUGGCACUUUUUAAAUCCAUAUCCACCUUGUGUGCAAUGUCAGUCGAUCUUCUUCAUGGAGAUCGACCAAACAUCAACCUUUAUUUUUUAACUCUUUGUCUGAAAAAUAUUAUGAAUAAACAAUUCAAAAUACAACUUUCAACAACGGAUCUCUUGGCUCUCGCAUCGAUGAAGAACGCAGCGAAAUGCGAUACGUAAUGUGAAUUGCAGAAUUCAGUGAAUCAUCGAAUCUUUGAACGCAUAUUGCGCUCUUUGGUAUUCCGAAGAGCAUGCUUGUUUGAGUAUCAGUAAACACCUCAAAGCUUUUGGAUUUUUUAAUCGAAAAGCUUUGGACUUGAGCAAUCCCAACACCAAUCUUUUUGAGAUCGGUGGCGGGUUGCUUGAAAUGCAGGUGCAGCUGGACAUUCUCCUGAGCUAAAAGCAUAUUCAUUUAGUCCCGUCAAACGGAUUAUUACUUUUGCUGCAGCUAACAUAAAGGGAGUUUGACCGUAUUGGCUGACUGAUGCAGGAUUUCACAAGGGUCGGCAACGAUUCUUGUUAAACUCGAUCUCAAAUCAAGUAAGACUACCCGCUGAACUUAAGCAUUU
rnacentral:rRNA from 1 species